ACCACUUUACACCGGCACGCAGUACGCUCAUUAUUUCUCCACCGUCUCUCUCUCUAUAUCUCUAUUUUAACUCUAACCAGCUUACACCACCGCCGCAGCUACCUUCGAACAAUUAAACCAUCGUCACAACCGCAAAUCACCAACAGGGUAGGUACUCUCCAUUUCCUCAAAUGGAAGCAUCAUCUAUUGAUGACCAGCCUGCAAUGUCUCUUGAGGAGGAGGAAAUGAGGAGCAUGGCUUUAUAUAGAGAGGAAUUAAUAGAAAGAAAAAUAAUGCGAAAACAAAGCUGCGGCAGCUGCUGGUCGCGAGUUCAUAAGGGGCGAUGACAAAAGUGCUGGCUAUGACUGGCUCCUUAUUCCCCCAAGCAAGCUGGAACAUUGUUUUAUGAAGAUCCCAGGAGAGGGCAGUCAUUGUGUGGCAAGUGAUCCAACUCCUACGAAAGCCACUACUGCCAGAAAGGAAGCUAUUGGUGUGGAGGAAAGGAUUGCAACUUGUGUAACGACCAAGACAACUGUUAAAGAUGACAACUUCAGAGAUGAGUCCAGGGAAAGCGUACUGCAAGUUGUUUAAGAAUAAGAAGUUUAGGUUCGAAGUUGGUGAUUGUACUUUUAUAGCUCCAGAGGAUGAAAUGAAAAGCCUAAUAUUGCAAUUAAUCAAACAUUUAACAGAAGACGUGGAUGGAAAUUGAUGGUUAUGUGCCAGUACUUGUAUUGACUAGAGGAUGUAGCAGAUAGAUAUGGUAGAAUGUGGGAACUGUAUGAUGAUAGGGAGUUGUUUUACAGUCUUCACCAAGAAGAGAUUCCGAGUGUGUGUUUCCUGCAUGCUUGUAUAAGUGCAUUUUGUUCCCUCAGUGGACAAAAUUCCUGUUCGUACACAGAAUCCUGGCUUUAUUGUACUAAGGGUUUACGAAGAACAAGUACUGUGGUGGGUAAGAGAUAGGGAUUUUGAGAAGCAUAAACAAGUUGAAAUUUAUCAUCUUCUGCUGAAAACUCAACAACUGUUGGGAUAUGACAUGGAGGUGGAAGAGGAGAAAGCCGAAAAUUCUUUGGAGGAAGUUAAGAUUGUGGAGGAGGAAAUGGAGGAUAAUCUAUCACAUCUACCUGUAGCCGAUACUGAUGAUAUUGAUGCAAUUUUGGCUAAGGCACUUAUUGGAGAUGAUGUGAGAGUUAAAUGCUUGGGAUUGCUUUUUGAGGAAAUAAACUGCCUAUAGAUCAUCACGAGACCACCAUCCAGAUGUUGUUAUGUCAGCGCUAGUUGCUCCAGAGAAAGCCUGUUUUAGUACUCGGGGUGAGAAUUUGACGAAGUAUCAGCAAAAAAUGCGACAGUUGCGUUUUAAUCUGAAGGAUACCGUAGAACUAGCUAGACUUUUGAUUGAUUCCUUGUUGAAAACUUCAGCGGGUGUGGAGAUGACAGCGGAGGAAUUAAGGAGAGGACGCCUGGCAUCAGAAGAGAAAUCUGGCGGAGAAGAACCAGAGGAGCAACAUAUGGAUAUUCCAUGCCCAAGAUGCAAUGAGAAGAAAGUGGGUCUCCGCAGCAGCAUUUUCAUAGCAGGACGUGCUGCCGACUACCAAUUUGAAUGUUUGAAAUGUGGUAAGACAUGGUUCUCGUCUAGGAUAUAAGGAUGAGAAUCAACACAUAUAUAGCACCCGUCUUAGAAUUCUUGAAUCCUUUUAACUGGGUAAACAAACUAGGUCCAUCAGAACUCCGCAAUCCAUGUCAAGUACAAAUUGUAGUAUACAUAUAUAGAUGUUAGUUAUAGUUUUUGAGACACUAGCAUAUUUUGGCUUUAGUUUUGCAAGUGUCCAGGCUUGAGAUAGAACUACACAGAUUCCAAAGCUUCACAGUUUGGACAAUUUAUAGCUUUGAUGAUCACAUGUUAUGUGUAGCUGUGAUUGCUUCACCUUUAGUUUUUUGGUUAUAAACUUUGCUUGUGUUUAGAAACUGCAGGCUCAUAUGUUUACCACUAACUAGUAUAAAAUUUGCUUACAUCAAUAUGACCUAGUCGUGUAAUUAUUUUGGGACGCAGUCUGUUUUUAUGUUUUUGUUUUUCAAUUGCUACAUGGCUACGAAUUGCGACAUCUGGUUCUGUUCUUUUUUGUUCCUUUAAUCUGUUGUCCCGUCUGUGGUAAGUUGUGUCCAAAUGCAGCUUCAAACUGCAAGUAAUAAGGGAUCCUAUUUUGCUGUGAUUUGAAUUGUAUUUUGUUGGUUCUUUUUACCAAGUCAAAGUGGAAGGACCUAACAUACAGGUGUGAGUAUGCAGAAUUUGUUCGCCUAUUAUUCAUCUUUAGAUA